UUUACCAUACGUGCACUAUUUAGC
rnacentral:siRNA from 1 species